AGGGGUGUAGUUCAGUUGGUAGAGCGUUGGUCUCCAAAACCAAAAGUCGCGAGUUCGAAUCUUGCCGCCCCUG
rnacentral:tRNA from 1 species